GGUGUGGACCUGUUCCCAGAGUCAGCUGCUCUGACCACUCAGCAGCUGACAGCACGAGCUGAUGGUGCUGACAGCUGUUAUUACCCAGAGCUCCUAAGGAGAGAUGCCAGAGGUAGAGACCUGCCAAGCAGGUAAAAUUUGUUUAAGCAAAGCAAAGUGAAGAAUCUACAAAACAGGAGCCUCUGGCCCAGGGUGAAUGAAGGGUUUCAGCAGAGUCCCCAGCUCUCAUCUCUCCCCUACGUGUGGGAAAUCCCCAGGACUGCUUGAUCACGCUGACCAUUCCUGGAUUCUCUCCACUCAAAGACUCCCAGUGUACUUCCAUCUGCAGCACACAGGACAUCACAGAUUGUCAACGCUGUCACACAGUACUGCUCUGGUUAUUCCUCGUGGUUAUCUUUGCUCCUCAGGGAGAUGGUGAGUGUCCAGCUCCAUGGAAGUCCUCUUGAGCUUGCCAGGUACACAGACCCCCUGCGAGUCUCUGUAAACUUGGGCAUUCUGUGUGCUGGGCUCUUGAUUUCUUGCAAACUGAUUUCAGAAUUCACUUAUAUAAAUUUUUUUUUAUUUUACUUUUUCUUUUUUCUGUUUAUUUAGAGACAAGUUCUCCCUCGGCUGCCCAGACUAGAGUGCAGUGGUGUGAUCAUAGCUCACUGAAGCCUCAAACUCCUAGGCUCCAGAGAUCCUCCCACCUCAGCCUCCUGAGCAGCUGAGACUACAGGCAUGCACCCCCACACCUGGCUAAUUUUUUAAUUUUUUGUAGAGACGGGUCUCACCAUGUUGCCUAGGCUGGUCUCAAACUCCUGAGCUCAAGCAAACCUCCCAUUUCGACCUUCCAAAGUGUUGGAACUCCAGGUGUGAGCCACCACACCCGGCCCACUUAUAGGUUUUUUGAGCUAUAAUCGCCACUGCACUCCAGUCUGGGCG
rnacentral:lncRNA from 10 species